GUUUGAUCCUGGCUCAGGGAUGAACGCUGGGCGGGCGUGCUUAAACACGAUGCAAGUCGAACGUGAGAGGUAGCAAUAUCUUGAAAGUGGCGAACGGGUGAGUAACACGUAGGUAACCUGCCUCGGAGUGGGGGAUAACAGUUAGAAAUGACUGCUAAUACCGCAUGAAACCAUUGUUUGGGGACAAGUGAUGGAGAAAACUCUGGUGCUUCGAGAGGGGCCUGCGGCCGAUUAGCUAGUUGGUGGGGUAAAGGCCUACCAAGGCGACGAUCGGUAGCUGGUCUGAGAGGACGAUCAGCCACACGGGAACUGAGACACGGUCCCGACUCCGUACGGGGGGCAGCAGUGAGGAAUAUUGGGCAAUGGGCGGAAGCCUGACCCAGCAACGCCCGCGUGGAGGAUUGAAGGCCUUCGGGUUGUAAACUCCUUUUGCAGGGGAAGAGGAAGGACGGUACCCUGCGAAUAAGUCACGGCUAACUACGUG
rnacentral:rRNA from 1 species